CGAUCCGCCAUUUUGGUGUGCAAAUUGCGAGCUGUUUGUACACGCGACGUAUGGCGGCGGGAGGUUCUAUCCACGAAAAAGGGGCAGUAAGGAGGGAUGGAUUAUGUAAAAUUGCUUCGGGUGACAACGAAGCCAAUCUGCACUGGUCAUACUGAAAAGGAACAACAUGACUCUUUAGGCUUGUACAACACUGGUAACCAGCUAUGGGUGGUAUCAAGAACAGGCUGGGUAACAGGUAUGUAUGUUUAGGGGUCCUGAAGGUGAUGAUGUCACUUUGUGAUGGUGUUGUUGGGGCUCUGUUCUCUGUGAAAGAGAGCUCAAUGUUAGCAUGAAUCUAUCAGAGCCUGCUAGACACCAAACCUAACCUGGGAUGUAGUUGGGUUGUCAUGAAACCCACACUUCCGCUUUAUUGUUGAAAAAAGAUUUUCAACUAUAUCGUGGUUGAAUCUACCUGUUAAAGAAAUGGAAACAUCAAAUAAAAUGUAAGCACAUAGUAAAAUUCAUUUUUUUUUUUUAAUAGGGCAACAAGUCUGAAUUUACAAACUGUGCAGUUUCUGCGCUUUUGUUGUUUUAACUGUCCAUACUGUCUGUGAAAUAAAGAAAGCUUGAUAAAACUCCUAAA